AGUGAACGCUGGCGGCGUGCCUAAUACAUGCAAGUCGAACGGAGCGGCUGGCGGGUGGGUAAUUCCUAGGUAUCUGCCUGGUUGUGGGGGAUAACGACCGGCUACGGGCGCUAAUACCGCCUACUAUCCGUUGAGCCUAGGUCGGAUUAGCUAGUUGGUGGGGUAAAUGCCUACUCAGGCAACGAUCCGUAACUGGUCUGUGCGGAUGAUCAGUCAAACUGGAACUGGGACACGGGCCAGACUCCUACGGGAGGCAGCAGGGGGGAAUAUUGGACAAUGGGCGAAAGCCUGAUCCAGCCAUGCCGCGUGUGUGAAGAAGGUCUUCGGAUUGUAAAACACUUUAAGUUGGGAGGCGUUACCAACAGAAUAAGCACCGGCUAACUUCGUGCCAGCAGCCGCGGUAAUAC
rnacentral:rRNA from 1 species